rnacentral:lncRNA from 1 species
UUUUAAUGUCUCAUUCUUAGUAAUUUGAGAUGUGUAAAAUAGCUUUUCUAUCUUACUUUAGUAAAAUCUUUUUGUUUUAGUGAUCAUAAGUCACUUUUACAUGUAACUUUGAUCCCCGAAUCCUGUUUUCCCCAGAGGAUCUUACGCUGUUGGACGAAUAAGCCAGAGUCUGCUUUUUUCUCUUUGCAGCUCAUCGUCAUAAGGACCUAUGUUUGUUUUUGAAAAAUCUGGAAUAUUGAUCUCCACUGUGGGUGUGUCAUGGGACCAGCAGGCAUGAGAGGCUGUGAGCCAGAAUUCCUUGAAUUCCCUGUGGCAAGGUCGAUCUCUGCAAGAUUGAAGAGGAGGCCCCCGACACACCGGCUCCUGACGGCAGCCAAGGCGACUGGAAAAGAUGGUCAGCAGGGAACAGCCAGAAGCACUAUAAAAAUGAAGGCUCACAGAUGACUAAAUUUAGUCAAAGUAGUGACUGAAAAAACCAACAAGAGUAGCUGUUUUGAGGGAAAAUUUACCAGCUAGAGCAUGGUGAAGUAAUUACAUAUUUUAUGAGGUCAAAACCCCCUUGAAGAUCACAAGGAGAUCCAGGUAGCAGUAUAAAGACAUCUGUGGGCAUUUUCUCAGACUCCGUGAGGUAACCAGCACAGAGAGACUUGCCUCAUCAUUAUAAAAGGCAGAGGGAACAGAACUAGUUUGAGGAAGGUCUUUGCAAUGAAAUCAAGCUAUAGAUGCUGCAUGUUCUCUCAUCACGCAUUUUGUGGUAUGUGGCCACCCACAACUAUUUGAAUGAAGGGUGUCACUGCUCCAGGAGUGAGUGUAGCUAUUUGGGGUACAGCACUAAGAAUUUAAAGGAGCAUUCCUGUCAGUCAACCCCUCCCUGCUGUGUCCCCAGGCUGUUCCCACCUGGGAAACUAAGAAUCCCUUAGGCUACCCUCCUGGGGCACUAAAGAGAAAAAUGUCAAUUUAUAGGCAGAAUAUAGAAUCCAAAAGCUGAAGGGGAUCUUAGUGAAUUUCUAAUCCAAGUGUCUCAGAGAAAAUACUACCCCAGAAAAGUUGCUUCUCAUACAUUGUUAUAGUUAAGGAGAGAGUCAGGAUGAAAACUCUAGUUUCUUAUUCCAGUUGCAGAAUUAAUGUCUCCUACCCCUUGUCUGAGAAGUUAUGAAGAAAUGGAGUGGAGAAAGUCUGA